UACGUAGGGGGCAAGCGUUGUCCGGAAUCACUGGGCGUAAAGCGCACGUAGGCGGCUUUCUAAGUCAGGGGUGAAUCCUGGAGCUCAACUCCAGAACUGCCUUUGAUACUGGAGAGCUUGAGUCCGGAAGAGGUGAGUGGAACUCCGAGUGUAGAGGUGAAAUUCGUAGAUAUUCGGAAGAACACCAGUGGCGAAGGCGGCUCACUGGUCCGGUACUGACGCUGAGGUGCGAAAGCGUGGGGAGCAAACAGG
rnacentral:rRNA from 1 species